rnacentral:misc_RNA from 1 species
AUUUUUCUUCGUGCCAAUCGCUCAAGACUGAGAGGGUCCAAGGCAGGACGCUUCUCCCACCAAAUUGCUUAAACUCAUCGGAGCACGCUUCAUCCUUUCCCAACAGCUGGUAGGUAUAAGAAAGAUGGACAUAAUUUCUCAAUUGCAAGAGCAAGUGGAUUUAAUUGCUUCACUUGCUUUUAAUACAAUUGGGACGCUGCAAAGAGAUGCUCCUCCAGUGCGUCUCUCUCCAAAUUACCCUGAACCACCAGCUAACCCUACUGAAGAUUUUGCAGAUCAACCUAAGUUGAUGAGUGCUGCGCUUGUAAAGGCUGCUAAGCAGUUUGAUGCUUUGGUGGCAGCACUUCCAUUAGCCGAGGGAGGUGAAGAAGCUCAACUGAAAAGGAUUGCGGAACUGCAGGCUGAAAAUGAUGCGGUAGGCCAAGAACUCCAAAGGCAACUGGAAGCUGCAGAGAAAGAAUUGAAGCAGGUCCAGGAGCUGUUUAGCCAAGCAACAGAUAAUUGCUUGAACCUGAAGAAGCCAGAUUAAUGAUGGUGCACUGCAUUUCCGAAUGUUGUAGAUGAAAAGGGAAUGAUUGGACCAGAUGGAGGAGUCCAAUUUCAAGCAUCUAAAUUUGUCUAAGCAUUUUUUCCCCUUUCUUACGAGGAUAGCAUCUGCAUGUGCUGUCAUGGGCUUAAGCACUUGUAAUAUUUUCGUGUCUUAAGGUAGCAUAUGCAUGAUAGAAUCAUGUUAGACCACCUAUUGAUUUUGAUUUGUAAAUUCAGGUUAGUUAGUAGACAAGUUCAGAUUAGUUAUCUAUUGCUUUUUGCUCUAUUUUCAUCUUUUUGAUCCCAUUCUUAGGCUUCUGCUCCUAGAUUAAAAUGAACAAAAGUUGUAUAAAAAGUGUACUAACCAUUUAAGGACCCUGAAGCUACCUGUCUAAUAGCAUAGGGCAUAGGCAUUAAAGGAUUGAAGUUUCUGCUACCACUCUGCCUCCCUUGAACCACAAGAAUCGAGGAAAACAAAAAUUGUAUCAGAACUUGCUUGAAUAAUUCCAUGAAAGGUAUCUUUACCUAGCGGUCUGUAUGGACUUGAGUUGAGAGGACUAAAGUUCGUAUCGAGUGAUCAUAGGUUAAUUGAUAGGAGCUGCUCUCUUAGGCAUUCAAUGAACCAGCUACCAUCAGAGCUACUGCUGUGCGUAUUAGUCCUCCCAAAGUUAGUGUUUGUAUUUCUACGAAGUACCAAUCGACUGAUCUCAGGCACUCGAAAACAAUCAAUCGUCUGUUGAUGAGUAAAACCACAAAAUACUUCUGUCUUUUGAAUUUAUAGGCAAAUGCAGAUUAUGUUUCCCUAAUAGACUGGUAAAAAAUUUUCAACAGGGCACAACAAGAAGGAAUGAGCUAGAUUACACAUGGCAUAAUCUGAAGACAAGUUUAUAUCUGGGGAUUUUGACAUCACGGAAAGUUUAAGCCUGCAACAAGGGAUCCUAUGUAAUGCUGCCAAAACGCAUUAUGCUCUGAUGCAUUUGCCAUGAUAAAACUACGACAAUCUCUGUUUUUUCCUCCCUUCCCAGACUUGGAUGAUCCAGCACCUGAAGUGGAUGACACAUGAGUUGUUUGAAACAGUGUUUCUUAAACCGGAGAAAAAAAGCCCAAACAGAAACUAAAUGUGGGGAUGACUGAAUAUCCAGUAACAACAAUUUAUCACAUGAGAUGAAUAAAAUAAAUUACCAACUCCAUAGUAAAUCCUUUAAUUGGAACUGGCAUUUUAUCACAAAUGAAAUGUAAAUAAUUUUGUAAUGAACACUUUUGUUCAGGUCAACUGAAUGUGUUACUUCAAUAAUUUUUUGAAGCCUUAUCGAAUGGAAACUCAACAGCAACAAAGAACCAACUUGUUUGACUAAUUCAUGUCUCUUGUAAGUUAGAGCAACAGAUAUUACCAACUUCAUAUCCGCAUCUGUAUUAUUUGAAUUUUUUUCCUUUUUGAGGAUAAUCAGAGAAGAAAAAUGACAAUGGAAUUUGUGGCAACUUUUUUUUUCUUUUUACCAUAUGAGAGCAAUGAAAAUUCUUUUGGAAGGAACAAUAUAAAAACUAGAAAGUGAGCAAACCACUGCAGCCAGGAUAUUACCAAAGUUGCUGAGACACAUUCUCAACCAUAAGCAAUUCCAAAACUAGUAAUUCAAAAAGAGAAUUAUAUCAUGUUUAACAAUGUUGGUUUCAACUCCAGGAAAAGGACAGCAAAAACCAACAGAGAUUGGCUUGAAAAUGAUGAUAAUAAUAAACGAUGAGGACAAUCACUCACAUCAGUAUAUAUCAAACUAAACCUCCAAAUAAUGAUGUACCCAACCCUUCUUGGGCACAUCGACUGCAAUAGUCCCAAAUACUAAUUCAGACAAAACAUAAACAAGAAUUGACACCAUGGCACUCAACUGAGGACAAACUCACUUCAUUUGAGGAUAUGACUUCAUAGUGGCUACCUUUAUCACAAUAGAUAAAAACAAUGAUAUGAAACUAUACUCACUAGUAGGAAUAGAUGGAUUGUAAAAAGUCCCAUCUUCCUUCUUCAGCAGUACCCUCACCCUCCCUAUUUGCAUGAAAUCGCGAGGAUAGGCCUUGUCAAUCUCAAUAGCAAAAGGGAGUUUGAGAUGGCUGCAGCAAUCACCAAUUUCAGCACAAGUUGGAUUUUCACAAGCUUUAGUCACACUGAUUCGCCUGCCCUCAGCUAUGGUCUUCUUUGAGUUUAUGUAAACAGGAUACAACACAACCCAUUUCUUUAUAUUGGGCAUAUUUCCAUCCAUCAUCUCUGCCAUUGAAUUCCAAUUAUACGCUAAUUGAAAUAUUUGCCCUAAGCUCAAAUUAGGAUCCGAGACGGACAGCAACCAAGUGAUGUAAGAGAAACACGGUGAUUGGCUCUGGUAUUUCGUGUCUUUCUGCCACCUCCCUUUUGGAAUGGUGAUUUUUAGGGUUUCACUGGAUCUUCUUCAGAGGCUCCAGAAUAGAAGAGGUUUCGAGGAGGAAUUUCGACGGCAAGAGAGAAUCAAGGUACUGGAGGGGGGAGAGGGAGAGAGACAGGGGGCUGCUCCUGCAAACAAAUGGAAAAAUCAACAAGACGACUCCAG